AUCUUGUGGUGGGGACAUAAAUCUAGGAGAUUCCUGAAGCGUUCCCAGUAUUCAUAAAGAGUCUCUGCUUUAUCUUGAAUGAUAGAGGAAAUCUCAUUCCUUAGCCU